CCAAUAGCGUAUAUUAAAGUUGCUGCAGUUAAAAAGCUCGUAGUUGAAUUUCGGGAUCAAUAUAUCGGUCGUGCCAUUGGUACGUACUGGUAUCAUUGGUUUCUCCUUUCUGACGAACCAUGAUGUCAUUAAUUUGGUGUUAUGGGAAGUUAGGACUGUUACUUUGAAAAAAUUAGAGUGUUUAAAGCAGGCUUUAGCUUGAAUACAUUAGCAUGGAAUAAUGAAAUAGGACGUUCGAACCUAUUUUGUUGGUUUCUAGGAUCAACGUAAUGAUUAAUAGGGAUAGUUGGGGGCAUUAGUAUUCAAUUGUCAGAGGUGAAAUUCUUGGAUUUAUUGAAGACUAACUACUGCGAAAGCAUUUGCCAAGGAUGUUUUCAUUAAUCAAGAACGAAAGUUAGGGGAUCGAAGACGAUCAGAUACCGUCGUAGUCUUAACCAUAAACUAUGCCGACUAGGGAUCGGAUGAUGUUAAUUUUUUAAUGACUCAUUCGGCGCCUUACG
rnacentral:rRNA from 1 species